rnacentral:rRNA from 1 species
AUGCUGGGUUGGCAGAAGGGACUCAUUACUAGAGCUGGGCGGCUGGUUCUUGUUCACGAUGUGGUCAUGGCGCGGCCGACCCACCACUUAAUCAUCGUGGACGCCCCAAAAUGGGCAAUUGAGCAAAGAGUGUGCCGACCCAAGGAGCUUGGUGGACUCGGGCUGCUGGACCUAAAACGUCAGGGCUUGGCCUUAAGAUUGCGGUGGGAGUGCUUGCGGCGCACUGACAGGAGUCGCCCAUGGCUUGGACUUCAAGCUGCCUUCGACACGAAAUUGGACGGGCCCGGGCCCGGCCCGGCCUGGGCUUCGGGCUCAAAACCUAGGCCUGAGCCCGGCCCAUGGACAAGGUCGGGCCGGGCUGGGUUGGGCUUUUUCGGGCAGGGUCGGGUCGGGCCGACCGGGCCGGGCUGCCCAUGGCCAGGUAUGCUUACAAGCAAGAUCUUCCUGUGGCUGGCAAUCCAAUUCAGGAUAUGGACCUCCGAUCGACGUCUCAGACAUGGGAUCCAAGACGCCACCUCCUCCUGCUACUUUUGUGAUCAGGAUGAAGAUACAGUCGACCACCUCCUUGUCCAGUGUGUCAUCUCACGACAAGUAUGGCACAUGGCGUUGUCCAGGACGAGACUUGGACCUAGCUUAACUCCUACGGGCUACAGCUGA